rnacentral:rRNA from 1 species
AAGGGCACCACAAGAACGCGUGGAGCAUGUGGCUUAAUUUGACUCAACGCGGGAAAUCUUACCGGGUCCGGACACACUGAGGAUUGACAGGCAAUAUUAUUUGAGUAGUCUUUUGAUUGCUUUUAUAUGUAAAUAUGCUAGUCCUUUCAUGAUUAUGUGAUAGGUGGUGCAUGGCCGUUCUUAGUUCGUGGAGUGAUCUGUCUGCUUAAUUGCGUUUCACUAAGAGCUUAUUAAUUUAUGUACGUUUGCUGGUAUAUUUGACCCCCAAAUUUCUUUUCUAAAUUUUACUUGUCUUCGGACAUUUAAUUUUUUUUAAAGUGUUUGCGUGUGUUUGUCAUUUAUGCAUUAAGCAUCGUACAAUUAAGCUCUGAAAGCAACGAACGUGACCGCAUCCUCUUAUUGCCUCUACUACUUUAUCCUUUACAUUAACUUCGGUUUAUGUAGAAGAUAUAAAACAGAGGCUUUAAAAUUAGAGGGACCGCUGUAACUUCUUUAAACCAGAGGAAGGUUGCGGCAAUAACAGGUCUGUGAUGCCCUUAGAUGUUCCGGGCUGCACACGUGCUACAAUGAUUGUUGCAGUGAGCAUCUCAUUUAUAACACUAUUGUUAGCUAAAUUUAAAAUCGUUUGCUUGGUAAUCUGAUGCACUUCGGUGUGUUGGUGAGCUGGGUUUCGUUUUUUUAUUCAGUGAAACAAAAGUUAAGCCUGCUUCGAAAGUAAGUAGGUAAUCAAUCCGAAGUAACGAUUUCCCAAUUUAGCACACCUAUAUGCAGCGUUUAUACCCAGACUUAGUCUUGCACUAUGUUCUCGUGUGUAUAGAUGUUUUUAUUCUGCAUGUGCUUUUGUCAAUUCAUGGUGGGGACAGACCAUUGUUAAUUGUUGGUCUCGGUCUUAACUAGGAAUGCCUUGUACGGGUCUUUGGUUCAACAAACCACCCGGAAUACGUCCCUGCCCUUUGUACACACCGCCCGUCGCUCUUACCGAUGGACUUCUCUGUGAGUUUGAGGGACUGGAAAGUUAGUUUUUCUGACAUUCUAUAGAAACUUAAACGAACAGUGUGGUCUAAAGGAAAGAGAAGUCGAACAAGGCA